UACGAAGGGUGCUAGCGUUGUUCGGAAUCACUGGGCGUAAAGCGCGCGUAGGUGGCUUUUCAAGUCAGGGGUGAAAUCCUGGAGCUCAACUCCAGAAUUGCCUUUGAAACUGCAAAGCUAGAGUGUCGGAGGGGAUAGCGGAAUUGCUAAUGUAGAGGUGAAAUUCGUAGAUAUUAGCAGGAACACCGGUGGCGAAGGCGGCUAUCUGGACGACAACUGACACUUAGGCGCGAAAGCGUGGGGAUCAAACAGG
rnacentral:rRNA from 1 species